rnacentral:rRNA from 1 species
AGCAGCCGCGGUAAUUCCAGCUCCAAUAGCGUAUAUUAAAGUUGUUGCAGUUAAAAAGCUCGUAGUUGAAUUUCGGGGUCAAUAAGUUGGUCGUGCCAAUGGUAUGCACUGGCUUUAUUGAUUCCUACCUCUUGACGAACUGUGAUGCCAUUAAUUUGGUGUCGCAAGGAAUCAGGACUGUUACCUUGAAAAAUUAGAGUGUUUAAAGCAGGCUUACGCUUGAAUACAUUAGCAUGGAAUAAUGAAAUAGGACGUUUGAACCUAUUUUGUUGGUUUCUAGGAUCGACGUAAUGAUUAAUAGGGAUAGUUGGGGGCAUUAGUAUUCAAUUGUCAGAGGUGAAAUUCUUGGAUUUAUUGAAGACUAACUACUGCGAAAGCAUUUGCCAAGGAUGUUUUCAUUAAUCAAGAACGAAAGUUAGGGGAUCGAAGACGAUCAGAUACCGUCGUAGC